CCCCUUUCACAUGACGACACGAGCGCUUAUAUCUAUCGCGUCGGCGCAAGCCGGCUAUGGCGAUAAACGAAGCGUGGCAUAAGCGUAGCGGACCCGGGGGCGGUACCCGGCGCCUCCACCAAAUUCCUCCGCGGGCCGAUAUCUCGGUCACGGACCAGCCCGAUAAAAAGGGCUCGUUGGCGCGGAGCUUGGGGGCGAAAUAGGAUCGACGCGCGUGGUAAAGACGGUUUUUUCGCUCGGCAUGGUACCACCGAUAUCGGGCCAUAAUGUAGUUGCGAAUGACAACUAUGCUGAGGCGCGCCUGGCUGCGUAAGCAGUUCGGUAGUCUCGAUAAAAUUCGUUACGGUUAGCGUCGUAGCGUGGGGCCGCGGGCCGCCUAGCAACAGAAGGCCCGCACC
rnacentral:tmRNA from 1 species